GCCCGGCUAGCUCAGUCGGUAGAGCAUGAGACGCUUAAUGUCAAGGUUGUGGGUUAGAGCCCCACGUUGGGCG
rnacentral:tRNA from 1 species